rnacentral:lncRNA from 1 species
GAAGAUCAAGCAUGCAAAAAUUCAGGUCAAUUGGAUCAACACAUAGCAUUUCACAAGGCAUUGAAUGUAACAUGUCAAUUUAACGCAAGGUUCAAUCAAAAAUUACCAAAUAAAAAUCCUGAAAUAAACAAUUCAUGAAAAUAAUACCAAAAAAUAAUAGACAUUAAAACAAGACUAUGAAAAAAAAAUUGGAGUCAAUUUGGACUAUUCUACUAUUAUUUAUGAUUUUUUAAAGAGGCAUGAAA